GACGAACGCUGGCGGCGUGCCUAAUACAUGCAAGUAGAACGCAGUUGCGAACGGGUGAGUAACGCGUAGGUAACUGCCUCAUAGCGGGGGAUAACUAUUGGAAACGAUAGCUAAUACCGCAUAAUGUGAGAUGGACCUGCGUUGUAUUAGCUAGUUGGAGAGGGAAAGGCUCACCAAGGCGACGAUACAUAACCGACCUGAGAGGAGGAUCGGCCACAAUGGGACUGAGACACGGGCCAGGCUCCUACGGGAGGCAGCUGUAGGGAAUCUUCGGCAAUGGACGGAAGUCUGACCGAGCAACGCCGCAUGAGUGAAUAAGGUUUUCGGAUAGUAAAGCUCUUUUGUUAGAGAAGCGUUAACUAACCAGAAAGGAGCGGCUAACUACGUGCAAGCAGACGCGGUAAUAC
rnacentral:rRNA from 1 species